rnacentral:rRNA from 1 species
ACGUAGGGGGCAAGCGUUAUCCGGAUUUACUGGGUGUAAAGGGAGCGUAGACGGCGAUGCAAGUCUGAAGUGAAAGCCCGGGGCUCAACCCCGGGACUGCUUUGGAAACUGUGUGGCUGGAGUGCAGGAGAGGUAAGUGGAAUUCCUAGUGUAGCGGUGAAAUGCGUAGAUAUUAGGAGGAACACCAGUGGCGAAGGCGGCUUACUGGACUGUAACUGACGUUGAGGCUCGAAAGCGUGGGGAGCAAACAG